GCAACAAGGUAAUGUUAGGAGAGUAUGUUACUCUUGCAAGAGAUAUCAGAGACUUUUUUAAGUGUUAAUGGGCAUGUUUUAUACAUGGCUGCAAACUGUCCGGUUCACCAAGUGUGCCUCAUUUUGGUUACAGUCAACGGACAUGUGGGACCUGUCUUGGCAUUGAGUAUCAUAUCAAAUCACAAAAAUAAACCUGAGAACACAGGCAAGAUGCUAAGGUUUCCUUGAUGUGCCAGUAUGCAGCAUUGUCGAUUUAUUAAGGCACCACUUCUAAAAGGUAUGUGUAUGUGUUGCUUACUCUUGUGAUGAAGCUUUAACUUAAUUGGUCGGACUUAUAUAUUGUUACUUGUAUACAUUUGUUCCUAAAGCGAUCAGAUGACCCAAGUUUAAUUCCUAACUUUAAGGAGCAGUAUUUCGAGAUUUAUUUGAAUGGUGAUCAUUCAGCAGAUGUUCUUGGUUUUGGUUUUA